rnacentral:misc_RNA from 1 species
GAUGAAGAACGUAGCGAAAUGCGAUACUUGGUGUGAAUUGCAGAAUCCCGUGAACCAUCGAGUCUUUGAACGCAAGUUGCGCCCGAAGCCAUCAGGUUGAGGGCACGUCUGCCUGGGCGUCACAUAUCGUUGCUCGAUGCCUAUCGCAUUGCGAUAGGACUUAGGGCGAAUGAUGGCUUCCCGUGAGCGUUGUUGCCUCGCGGUUGGUUGAAAAUCGAGUGCAUGGUGUCGGGUGUACCAUGAUGGAUGGUGGUUGAGUGAUGAUGCUCGGGACCAAUCAUGGGUAACUCCACCAGAAUUGGGCUCGGUGACCCACAUGCGUCCCUUGGAUGCUCCCUAAGGAGACCUCAGGUCAGGCGGGGCUACCCGCUGAGUUUAAGCAUAUCAAUAAGCGGAGGA